UGCACGAUACACCGAUUUUCCAGAUGUUUUACAGCUGCUGAGUACAGAAUUGUGCCGGUUGUCUUCCAGCUUCUCCCAGAGCAAGGGGCAGAUCCUCAGCUGGUGUGAGAUGAUCUCCAAUGAGCCGGAGCAAGACUCGGAGGUGUUGGGCUUCACAAAGACUGUCCUGGACCACAUGAUCCUUGACACACGAUUAGUCUCACCCAUAAUAUGGGGCAACCCAUCAUGUGUGUGGGGAAUAGCAAGUAGGCAAAUGACAGUGCAAAUCUAACAUAAAGUAGCUCCAGUCAGAAACAGGUUUUGCAGUAUCACCUACUGAGACCCCAGGAAAGGUUGGAAAGGUCAAACUCCGAGCUGUUUCCCUUUCAUCUAUUUGUGAAGGGCCACGAAAUUCUUUGCAGAGAAUUUAACAAAUAAUGCUUCAGAAAUAUAUUUUUCCCCUAACAUCUUGCUCCUUUUUACUGCCCAAGUAUAAAAGCCAACAACAACUCAGCACGCAUGUUUUAAGUUGAAUAAAAAGAGCUGGUAAGAAUGCA
rnacentral:lncRNA from 1 species